rnacentral:lncRNA from 1 species
GAAUGGAGACAAUCUGAACAAAAGUCCAGGAACAGGAAUGCAUGUGGCACAGACGUAGGACCCAAGAGGAAGGCGGUUUUCACUCAUUAAUUUAUUACCAUCUCACAGCAGCCUCAGAAAAGCAGCAGCAGCUGUUUUAUUUCUUAGCGAAGGACCCCUAAAGUUGCGAUGUCUGGCACAAAACUCAGAAGAGACACAUGCGCGCGUGUGCACACAAAGACCAGUGGACUUAAAUGAUGAAGACGGAAUGUUUCCGUAAGGCCAGAGAAACUGAGCAAAGUUAAAACCGAGGACAGAUGGGGAGAAAAUAUUUGUAACACAACUAAUUUUUUUUAAGUUAAUGACACUAUCCUAUAAA